CCUUAGAUGUUCUGGGCCGCACGCGCGCUACACUGACGGAGCCAGCGAGUAAUUCCUUGGCCGGAAGGCCCGGGUAAUCUUGUUAAACUCCGUCGUGCUGGGGAUAGAGCAUUGCAAUUAUUGCUCUUCAACGAGGAAUCCCUAGUAAGCGCAAGUCAUCAGCUUGCGUUGAUUACGUCCCUGCCCUUUGUACACACCGCCCGUCGCUACUACCGAUUGAAUGGCUCAGUGAGGCGUCCGGACUGGCCCAGGGAGGUGGGCAACUACCACCCAGGGCCGGAAAGCUCUCCAAACUCGGUCAUUUAGAGGAAGUAAAAGUCGUAACAAGGUC
rnacentral:rRNA from 2 species